GCUUACGGCCAUACCAGCCUAAAUACACCCGAUCUUGUCAGAUCUCGAAAGCUAAGCAGGGUCGGGCCUGGAUAGUACUUGGAUGGGAGACUGCCAGGGAAUACCAGGUGCUGUAAGCA
rnacentral:rRNA from 1 species